GAUGAACGCUGGCGGUAUGCCUAACACAUGCAAGUCGAACGAGCUCUUCGGAGCUAGUGGCGGACGGGUGAGUAACGCGUGAGAAUCUGCCUUCAGGAUGGGGACAACAGUUGGAAACGAUUGCUAAAACCCAAUGUGCCGCAAGGUGAAAUAUUAAUAGCCUGAAGAGGAGCUCGCGUCCGAUUAGUUAGUUGGUGGGGUAAAGGCCUACCAAGGCAGCGAUCGGUAGCUGGUCUGAGAGGAUGAGCAGCCACACUGGGACUGAGACACGGCCCAGCAUCCUGCGGGAGGCAGCAGUGGGGAAUUUUCCGCAAUGGGCGAAAGCCUGACGGGGCAAUACCGCGUGAGGGAGGAAGGUUUUUGGAUUGUAAACCUCUUUUGUUAAGGAAGAAGAAAGUGACGGUACUUAACGAAUAAGCAUCGGCUAACUCCGUGCCAGCAGCCGCGGUAA
rnacentral:rRNA from 1 species